rnacentral:rRNA from 1 species
GACAGAGGUGGCAAGCGUUGUUCGGAAUUACUGGGCUUAAAGGGCGCGUAGGCGGUAAGAUAAGUCUGUGGUGAAAUCCUAUGGCUUAACCAUAGAAUUGCCAUGGAAACUGUUUUACUUGAGUCAGCGAGGGGAUGGUGGAAUUCCUGGUGUAGCAGUGAAAUGCGUAGAUAUCCGGAGGAAGGCCGGUGGCGAAGGCGGCCAUCUGGCGCUGAACUGACGCUGAGGCGCGAAAGCGUGGGUAGCAAACAGGAUUAGAUACCCUGGUAGUCCACGCCCUAAACGGUGGGCAUUAGGUGUAGGGCUCGUAAGGGUUCUGUGCCGUAGGGAAACCAUUAAAUGCCCCGCCUGGGGAGUACGGCCGCAAGGUUA